CCUACGGGGGGCAGCAGUGGGGAAUAUUGGACAAUGGGGGGAACCCUGAUCCAGCCAUGCCGCGUGUGUGAAGAAGGCCCUCGGGUUGUAAAGCACUUUCAGUGAGGAAGAACGCCUGGUGGUUAAUACCCAUCAGGAAAGACAUCACUCACAGAAGAAGCACCGGCUAACUCCGUGCAAGCAGCCGCGGUAAUACGGAGGGUGCGAGCGUUAAUCGGAAUUACUGGGCGUAAAGCGCGCGUAGGUGGCUUGAUAAGCCGGUUGUGAAAGCCCCGGGCUCAACCUGGGAACGGCAUCCGGAACUGUCAAGCUAGAGUGCAGGAGAGGAAGGUAGAAUUCCCGGUGUAGCGGUGAAAUGCGUAGAGAUCGGGAGGAAUACCAGUGGCGAAGGCGGCCUUCUGGACUGACACUGACACUGAGGUGCGAAAGCGUGGGUAGCAAACAGGAUUAGAUACCCGGGUAGUC
rnacentral:rRNA from 1 species